CUCUCCUUUGUUUUUAAUUCCUUGACAAAUAAAUACCGUUUAUAUAGACGAUUUUAAUAGCCAUACUCAGGGUAGAAUUUAGCCUGUGUUUUUAAAAGUUGAAUGGACGUAGCGGACAGACAGAUCGACUGCGUUCUGGGGGUUGAGUGGGCGACCUGCAGGCAAACCUGUACCAGCCGCGCCUGCUUCCUUCAGGAGACCCAGUAACUAUGGCGAUGACAGCGGAAAAACGCACUGGGCACAUGCCAGUUCAGCGUCUAGUUUUGACUUAGGCCUACAUGUGGUUGAGUUGUCAACUAACGUGAAUUCAACGUGAAAUCAAUCAAACAUUUCACCCUGUCAUUGGAUUUAGGUUAAAAGUUUUUUUUUUUAAAUACGAAAUUCUCUUAAAUUGCUGACUUUGCUAAACCAAUCGGUUUUCCACAUUGAUUCAUCGUCAUCACAUGGCAUUGUUUGGUUUAAAUUACAUGGAAACAACGUUGAUUCAAGCAGUUUUGGCUCAGAGGGAAACUAUAAUUCCUGCUCUCCAGUGUAUGUGCGAUUAUUGAGGGAGGCUGAGACGGACGGGAGGGGGAGAAGAAAGGGAGUUUAUGAGAUGAGAGAGAGAGCUAGAGACGCACCGACAGCUCUCGGGGGGGGUUCCAGCUCGACCACCGACGGAGCGGAGCGGUAGCCCACAUUCCGAGUCCUCGACCUAGGUGACGGCGACACAGGCUAGAGGGGAGGAAAGAGAGAGAUGGGAUCAGCUUCGUCGGUGUACCGAGUAAUCUACCUGGACGUCGAUGGCAGAAUUCAGAAGUUGUCUUGAAAGCACCAUAAAUACAGAGAAUGCCAGCCAGACUUUGAUGACAACA